rnacentral:rRNA from 1 species
UACGAAGGUCCCGAGCGUUGUUCGGAAUCACUGGGCGUAAAGGGCGCGUAGGCGGCGUGGUAAGUCAGAUGUGAAAUCCCGGGGCUCAACCCCGGAACUGCACCCGAUACUGCCGUGCUCGAGGGUUGGAGAGGUAGCUGGAAUUAUCGGUGUAGCAGUGAAAUGCGUGGAUAUCGAUAGGAACACUCGUGGCGAAGGCGAGCUACUGGACAACAUCUGACGCUGAGGCUCGAAGGCCAGGGGAGCAAAAGGG